UAGCCAGCACAUGACUCCGUUAGCGGUC
rnacentral:piRNA from 1 species